rnacentral:sRNA from 1 species
UUGCUCAGGUGUUUCUGACGCUAAUAGC